rnacentral:piRNA from 1 species
GACAUGCUGGACUUUGCAAAGGCGCC